CUGACAACAGUAUGGCUGAGGUAUUAACAUACAUAUUGUGAAGAUUGGAUUUAGCUGUCUCCUGAUUGUAACAAUGAAGGUGUUAACUAACCACAAAAUGUAUGAUCUAACCACAAAAGAUAUGAACACCCAUUUCAUACAUUGAGUGGGCAGUCCUGGAGAGGAGCAUCUGCUGUGAUUGGUAGACAUGAAAUUUAGGGAAGGUAACACAAGAGAAAAAGGUCUUUAAAUAGAGGAAACAAAGACUGAAGAGGAUCAGUUGCCCAGUCUUGGAGUGAAGAACAGUCACUGGGAGCUGGAGGGAAGACAGACACUCAAACCAGGAGUGAAGACACUUGGCUUGGAACUGGACCUCUGGAGGAACUCAUACAGGAGACCUCAGACUGCUUUCUUUUUAGAUGGUCACCAUGGGGAAGGACCACUUUGAGGAGGUGCUAUCCCCUUUUCUGAUAGGAGCACAGAGGUAGUUUCUGAAGGAGGGAAUCACAGGCAUUGGUGAAUACUGCAAGCAUGAAGUUGGCUUGUUGUUUAGCUUUGAACUCACAAGAAAGGUUUUAUUAGGCAUUAGUCAAACAAGGUAUGAGCCUGGGAGUACACAGAUUCCUGUUGACGAG
rnacentral:lncRNA from 1 species